rnacentral:rRNA from 1 species
GACAGAGGGUGCGAACGUUGUUCGGAAUUACUGGGCGUAAGGCGCGUGUAGGCGGCAGCGCAAGUCGGGCGUGAAAUCCCACGGCUCAACCGUGGAAGUGCACUCGAAACUGCGCAGCUAGAGUCCUGGAGAGGAAGGUGGAAUGCUUGGUGUAGAGGUGAAAUUCGUAGAUAUCAAGCGGAACACCGGUGGCGAAGGCGGCCUUCUGGACAGUGACUGACGCUGAGACGCGAAAGCGUGGGGAGCAAACAGG